AGGCAGCAGUGAGGAAUAUUGGUCAAUGGGCGGAAGCCUGAACCAGCCAAGUCGCGUGAGGGAAGAAGGCCCUGCGGGUCGCAGACCUCUUUGGACGGGGAGCAAGGCCGCGGACGUGUCCGCGGAAGGAGAGUACCCGUAGAACAAGCAUCGGCUAACUCCGUCGCC
rnacentral:rRNA from 1 species